rnacentral:pre_miRNA from 1 species
UAAGUACUCCCUCCGUCCGAAAAUACUUUUCAUCAAAAGAGGAUGUAUCUAGACGUAUUUUAGUUCGAGAUACAUCUCUUUUUAUCAAUUUUGAUGACAAGUAUUUUCGGACGGAGGGAGUAGUCA